rnacentral:lncRNA from 1 species
AUAAAUAUAUCCCAAAUAUAAGGUUAUAAGAUAAUCAGCAUGACACUAAAAAUUGCAAUAUAUAUUAAUUCCAAAGGUUUGAUAUCUCUAAAAUUAUACAAUGCUUGUAAGAAAAAAGGUAAAUGUUCCGAGAGAAGAAUGAGUAAAAUACAUGUCACUGAAAGCGAAAUAUGGAUAGCAUAUAUAUAUAAAGAUGUUCUACCACACUAAUAAUAAAACAAAUACAAAUAAAACAAAAUAUUGGAGUUCCUAUUGUGGCUCAGGGAGUUAAGCUCCCAGUGUUGUUUCUGUGAGGAUGCGGGUUCGAUCCCUGGCCUCACUCAGUGGAUUAAGGAUCUGGUAUUGCCACAAGCUGUGGCAUAGGUCAUAGAGGCGGCUCAGAUCUGGUGUUGCUGUGGCUGUGGUGUAGGCUGGCAGCUGCAGCUCUGAUUCGACCCCUAGCCUGGGAAGUUCCAUAUGCCAUAGGUACAGCGCGGCCAUAAAAAGAAAAAAAAAAAAACAAAAACAAAAACAAAAAAAUAUAUAUAUAUCAAUUUUUUAACUUACCAGACUGAUAAAGACUUAGAAAACUAAAGCUACCCAGUGUGGGAGCACAGGAUUUCUCAAGCUCUCCUGGGAAUGUAAAUGGGUACAACUUUUCUUGAACGUAAUAGAAUAGCACGUGCCAAAGUGUCACAUGGACACACAUCUCUGAGGCAGAGACAUCAUCUCUAAGGCACAAAGAUGUGAGCAAGGACUUCCAGUACACCACUGUUUGUAACAGAGAAUACACUGAAAACAGGAGCAUGUCUGUGCAAAAAAAAAAAGAAAAAGAAAAGAAAGAAACUACAACAAGCAUAUAGAGAAAUCAUUAAAAAGGAUAUCGUAUAGCUAUAUUGUUAGACGUUCUGUCUUGAAAAAAGGUUGGAACACUCGAAAUACAAUAUGAACUCAUUUAUGUGAAAUUUUAUAUACAUCAUCAUCAUCAUCAGAAAAGGUCAGGUGAGGAACAGCAGGCACACAAAUGACAACAGCAGUAUUUACUGGCAGUCAAGGGAUUUUUACUUUUCUUAUACUUUUCCAUAUUAUUUCAAUUCUCAAUAAUAGGUAUAUAUUAUCUGUAUAUAUUAAAGCACACUGACAUGGGUCUUUUCUGCUACAACAGAUAUUUCUUUAAUGUAAAUUAGUUCACAUGCAACAAAGUGGAAAGUCUCAUUCGCUGCCUUUAAGAUUCUCCACUAUCGUAAGUGACCAAAGGAAGCUGAGAGUACAGAUGAAGAAAUGCAAAAUAUUUCCCCUUGUGUUUAAAAGAAAACAAAAAAGAAAACACCCUGGAUGAGAUUUUUAACUUUGAUGAAAUCGGUCUGGGUUAGAAGUGGAUGACUUUAAGGACCCAUAACUUAAAGGAAGAAAACUAGAGUUUAAGGCUAAGUGCGAGGGGUGGAUGUAAAGGCCAGUGAAGAUUUAACCAUGUUGGUGUUUUUAUAACAAUUAUCAUUUUUUGAUACUGACUCUGUUUACACAAUUUGACUGGUUUUAAACCAUCUGUUCCUAACCCUAUUUGCCCUAGAAGCACUAUCACUUUUAGCAUAUGAUUUUGCAGAAUUAAAGAUUUUUCAGGAAUGCAAACACAGCAGUUAGAGAGAAAUGUCUCUGCUAUUUCUGAGUAAAAUGCAAAAAGGUAGAGGAACAUUCUCUAUGUAAAAAAUGAAAAAAAGAAAAGAAAUAUUAAACUUUACUUGGCUUCAGCAAUAGUUUCUAAUCAAAGAUGUGAAACACUGGGCAAAACAACCUCAAUAUUCUUGAUUUACACCACACGUUUAUAUACACAGAGAGAGAAAGAGAAAUGGUCCUUGUCCCACUAGACACUUAAUCUAAACAAGACAGAAGAUUAAACAGGUAUCCACUGUGGUGAAUGGAGGGAUUAAUUCGGUUAACCUUUUUUAAGUGAAACAAACAGGAGAGAGAUUUAUUUUCUUUCUCACAUUAAAAAAUUCUGGGCGUCCCCACUGCAGCUCAACGCGAUUGGUGGUAUCUCUGGAGCGCAGGGACACAGGUUCGAUCACUGGCCCAGCACAGUAGCUUAAGGACCUGAGGCAGGCAUUAGCUCCCAGCUUUCCUUAGGAUCUGAUCCCUGGCCUGGGAAGUCCACAUGCUGCAAGGUGGCCAAAAAAAGAAAAUUUGUUUUAAAUUCUGAACGUAGGCAGUUCAAACUCACCCUGUAUUGCCCACCAUGGUAGUUCACCCAUCAUUUUUCUUUUUUUUAAUAACUAUUGUAAUAAGGUAUGACUGACAUACCAAAAGCUAUACAUAUUUAAUAUAUACAACUUGAUGCGUGCGAAGUAUAAACUAUGAAACCAUGACCACAAUACAGUCCAUCAACACAUCAGACACCUCCAAAAGUUUCCUUGCACCCUCUUUUAACCCUGUUAAUUUUUGAACAUAGUAUUUAAUUACAUAACCUCAACUGGGGUAGGCAAAGGGGAAAUGCAAAUAAGGAAAACCGUUGUGAAACUGUUUUA